AGAUAGCUUUAGUCAAAUCAAUUAUAUUGAUUUAGAAAACCCAUAAGCUAUUUCAAUCCCAAACAACCAAAAAACAGGUGCAUUUGUUAUUGACGUUGCGGCAGGUUUCCUUUAUUAUAAACAUAAUUGCUUGUCACAACUGUUAAUAAACCCAAAUGUAUUUACAAAAGCUACCCAUAUAAGAGCUUCAUACUCAUUUCUCUUUCUCUAGUCAUCUCCUAUGUUAGUAGCUAUCAUAAUACAAUCAUCAAACAAAUGACAUAUCUCUUGGUUCCAUAUAAAAUAUGCAAAAUGACUGUUUUCUGCAGACUCCAUGAUCACUGAAUAUUAUAAAUAUCAAACUCUGUCGAUGGUCUAUUUAUAUGUUGAGGAAAUGCCUCGAAAUGUAGCUUCCAAAUAAUGAUUUUCAGGUCAACACAUUGCAUGUUAACCUCCAUAAUGGGAUCAGCGAAUCUGCAGAUACCGCUACAUGUCGAGUCGAACGCAGCUACACAUAUGUUCCCUGCUUGUGCCUUUCAUUCACAAUCUGCAAUUCUCCCAAGAACCAGAAUCAAUGUUAAAUGAGGUAAAAGUUUUAGAGUCACAACAGACUUUGUAUAGCCAAGCCCAAUAAACCAAGCACCCAACGUAACAUCCCCACUUGCCUAUUUGUGCAAAAAAUGACUUGAUCAUUAUAUAGUAGCACCGGGAAGUUAGAUGGAGAAUGAGGUAUGAAUGCAAAGUAGACAAAACAGUUAAAAUCUUACUGAUUAUGGGAAAUAUAAGAAAUCAAUUCUCUUGAAAUGGCGUAUAACUGUCCAAUAGCGUGACAGAAGUACUUGUUCCUGUUCUCACCAAACUUCCAAUUCUAAAUGUAUAUAUAAAUCUAUUAGAGUUAUUGCCAGCGCUCUGUUGCGAUAUUUGUUAGCUAAAAUAACCCAUCCAACAUAAUAGGAAAAAGAAACCAACGAAAUUGUAAAGCUAACCAUCAGCUGAGAUGCUUUUGCUGUCCUGACACAUUGAAAGCUUAGUCAUUUCACUGUCAAAAGCAACAAACUAAGCAGUCAUAUACAUCCGAGACAUUUAUUUACAAACGGUUCCUAACACAGAAAAAUCAUAUUAUUAUGUUACGGAUGAUAAGUUUGAUGCAUAAAUACAAUUUAUAAUUUUUUUCAACUGAACAUUUGUGCCUACUGAAUUACCUUACAACACCCACUGCAUUGUGAUUUUGGCAUUUUAAAGCUGAGAAUCAACAUUGGAGCUUGCGUUAGCAUUUGGAACAUGAAAUAUAGCACCAUCAAUUUCCAGUGUUGUGCAAAAGAACUUUGCUAGUAAAGUAAUCGUGAUUAGUAAUUCUUUACAUCUUAGUGUCGUACAACUUCAAAACGAUAGACACUUACAAUCGACGGCUCUCAAAGAUGGACCGCAAACCAUCUAAUGAUAUGCUUACCUCGUCGUAUAAGUAAUCCAUGUCACUUCCCUCCCAUGGGUAACGUCGCUGGUGCAGAUCAAUUCCCUCCACCUCUUCCUCAUCAUUAGGAUGCUCUGCAAUAUACCCUCUGUAAGGUUCAAAUUUAUGUCGCUAGAAUUAUCAGAGAAAGAAAUAUAAAAUACCCUCCAAAUCUUCAGGAGCAUCGACAUUUUCUUUAUUCAAUGAUCUUCAUUCAAGCUAACAACCAUCAAAAUAAAAAGAAUGUGAGGCACAUAGUUUUCAAAAUCCAAGUUUAAUGAAUGGAAAAAAAAAACUCAGGAAAACAGAAAAUGUCAAACACUCACUGGCUUCUUCUUCUUUUACUUCUUGGCUCCCGUGAAUGAACUGUCAAAGCCAUUAUUAUCUGCAGGAAAAAAAUUAAACAAAGCAGCUGAUGAAAAGAAACAAAUAUGUUUCACAACACAUAAACUCUUCUUGAACAAUCAGACAACAGAUAGUAUGUCUCCCAUGUGACUCAGCUGAGUCCUCGAUGGCAUCCUGAACGACAAAUGUCUUCUUCUUCUUCUUGGUUAGAUCAAAGGGUGCAAGCUAAGGAUGACCAAAGAAAAUUAAAACCACACAAUCAUGAUGUAUCAGGCAAAAUAAAAGAACCGAUGAUGAAUUUAUUAAAGAUGGGGAGAUGUAGAGACUAAAGAAGAAAAACUGAUUCAUGAAACUCAAAGAGCCAAUAUGUGUUUCUUAGAUGAGUCAUGAACUGAUGAUUAAAAAUUGAAAGCCCUAAACUUCCAUUGAAGAGAACGCUUACAGAUCAAAGAGAUUUAUUGGGCUUUCUUUUAACGAAUUCCAUUUCAAAACAUGAGUUAUAAAAUAUUUAUUAAAUCAUUAGAUAAAAUAAAUAAGUGUGGGUCUCACAGAAAAAACCGAAGAAGCAAAAGUUUCUGACAUUCAUAAAUAUAUAUUUGUUUCAGUCGUUAAUGUACAAAGAAUCUUUUAUUUGAGUGCUAUGAAGAGUGAUGCAACCCUAUUAAUGUAGAUUUAAGUUCUGGAACUGCUUUCAAGUCUUGUCAGAUCCAUCAGAUCCAGAUCCAGUAAUGGCGGGUGCAGUAGCUAGAAUUUUGAAGAGGGUGGGUCUCCCUCCAUUGGGUGUUGUGGAUGUAAUCUCGAUAGGUUCAUUACCGGUCCUAGCCUAUAUAUACUUCCGGCAGGAAAAACAAUUUGCUUGGCUUGAUGAGCAAGAGAAACGUGUGAAUGCAACGGUUGCUGACAUGGGGGCUAGAGGAAUAAACAGAGAUCGUUGAUGAUGAUGAUGAUUUAUCCACAAGCAUGUGGUUUCUUUUUUUUUUUUUUUUUUUCUAUAUUAUAUAUGUUAGUUUUCCAUCUAUAAUAUUCCUAUUAAAUAAAAUAAGUCUUCUCUCUGCAUAAAAAGAUGAUCCUGUAUGAUAUAGGCUAACAUAGUUGUACAAUUUGGUGAGAUUGGCUUGACUUCUUUUUUCUUCGUUUGUAAUAAUACAUUAUUAUUGAUUGCUGCACUAGUUUAGCGUAGGA